rnacentral:rRNA from 1 species
UACGGAGGGUGCAAGCGUUAUCCGGAUUCACUGGGUUUAAAGGGUGCGUAGGUGGGUUGGUAAGUCAGCGGUGAAAUCUCCGGGCUUAACUCGGAAACUGCCGUUGAUACUAUCAAUCUUGAAUAUCGCGUAGGUAAGCGGAAUAUGUCAUGUAGCGGUGAAAUGCUUAGAUAUGACAUAGAACACCAAUUGCGAAGGCAGCUUACUUCACGAUCAUUGACACUGAGGCACGAAAGCGUGGGGAGCAAACAGG